rnacentral:rRNA from 1 species
CCUACGGGAGGCAGCAGUAGGGAAUAUUGCUCAAUGGGCGCAAGCCUGAAGCAGCAACGCCGCGUGGGGGAUGAAGGUCUUCGGAUUGUAAACUCCUUUUGUUAGAGAAGAUAGUGACGGUAUCUAACGCCUAAGCACCGGCGAACGCCGUGCCAGCAGCCGCGGGCUUACGGCGGGCGAAAGCGGUACUCGGAAUGACUGGGCGGAAAGGGCGCGUAAGUGGGAUGGCAAGUCAGAUGUGAAAUCCUAGGGCUUAAACCUCGAACUGCAUUUGAAACUGGUAGUCUAGAGUAUGGGAGAGGUAGGUGGAAUUCUUGGUGUAGCGGUGAAAUCCGUAGAGAUCAAGAGGAAUACUGAUUGCGAAGGCGGCCUACUGGAACAAAACUGACGCUGAGGCGCGAAAGCGUGGGGAGCAAACAGGAUUAGAUACCCCUGUAGUC